GAUGAAGAACGCAGCGAAAUGCGAUACGUAAUGUGAAUUGCAGAAUUCAGUGAAUCAUCGAAUCUUUGAACGCAUAUUGCGCUCUCUGGUAUUCCGGAGAGCAUGCUUGUUUGAGUAUCAGUAAACACCUCAACUUCCAUAUCUUUUUUGAAAUGGGAGUUGGACUUGAGUGAUCCCAACGCUUUUCCUCACCGAAAAGUGGCGGGUUACUUGAAAUGCAGGUGCAGCUGGACUUUUCUCUGAGCUAUAAGCAUAUCUAUUUAGUCUGCCUAAAAAACAGAUUAUUACCUUUGCUGCAGCUAACAUAAAGGAGAUUAGUUCUUGUGCUGACUGAUGCAGGAUUCACAAAGACAGGCUUCGGCCGACUUUGUAAACUCGAUCUCAAAUCAAGUAAGACUACCCGCUGAACCUAAGCAUAUCAAUAAGCGGAGGA
rnacentral:misc_RNA from 1 species